CGAACGGGUGAGUAAUGCGUGACCAACCUGCCCCAUGCUCCAGAAUAGCUCUUGGAAACGGGUGGUAAUGCUGGAUGCUCCAACUUGACGCGUGUCUUGUUGGGAAAGUGUUUAGUGGCAUGGGAUGGGGUCGCGUCCUAUCAGCUUGUAGGCGGGGUAAUGGCCCACCUAGGCUUCGACGGGUAGCCGGCCUGAGAGGGCGGACGGCCACAUUGGGACUGAGAUACGGCCCAGACUCCUACGGGAGGCAGCAGAU
rnacentral:rRNA from 1 species